UCCUCCCCGGAGAGGUGUUGGUUACAGGAGGUUUAUCGGAUCCCAAUUCCCGGCGGCUGCCUGGUGUUCGCCCCUGCAGCCCGGUACAGCGCUGCAGUUUCCAAAAGGUCGGCAUUACCCGCUGAGGCUUGCAGCUCUUCCCUCCAAACAGAUACGGCUCACUGUUGUCCCUGCAUGUCCUAACUUGUGUUUGCCUGAAUGCGUUUAUAUGUCUCCUGCUUUCGAUAUUUGUAGAACUCUGAAGAACUAAAUCAUCAAAUCAACCUUGAAUUAUAUACAAACAUGAAGAAUGUCAGCAAUAUCUGGAUGAAUUUGAUCAAAGCGAUUAUUGCAGGACAGAGACCAAAUUCAAAAGUUGUCAAAUUAUACUUGUUUGGAGCAGUUUUGGCACUUUUCACCGCUUUCCUGGCAGUAACAGAGAUGAUACAUUCGAUAUUGCUUACUGCAGUUAAGGAUGAUGCCUUGCAAACAACGAAUGCUAUGUUUUCCAGACCGUCAGCACCUACACGAAGUUGUCUUCUAAUUAAAAGGAAGAACAGAGGCAGAUUUCAUGCCUCCUAAUUGGACAGAAAUUUUGCUACAAAUCAAGUAUGAAUAAUUACUGUAUCUGUAUUUCUCUGCUUUAAAAAAGCACAGUUUGAUGCUUGGAAUUUUAAAAAUGCUACAAAUUUCUUCUUUAUAGAAACCAACAAGGUUUGGCAACCAGUUUGACUGGACUUGUUAAUUGUUGUAGAAGAUCUACCUUUGAGCCACUGGCUAGUUAACAUACAGUAUUUACUUAUUGCAACUGAAUGUACUCACCUUUGAAGAGGCACAUAACUGCGCAUUCUUAGAUGUUGCCAGAUCUGCUGAGUUUUUCAAGCAAUUUCUGACUUGUUUAAGGGUGAUUUUACUGUUACUGGAUACCUGGCGAGCCCCUCAACUUGCCUUCAGAAAGGAGAGGUCUGCACUUUAGAAAGCAUCAGAUCUUUGUGGGCAGCUUUCCUUGUCAUCUUCAGUAAGCACAGGCAUGUCAACACAGCUGGCAAAAUCUAGCAUACAUCUGUGUGACAUUUCAGCAACCACUUGCCUUAAAUAUAGCACUUUUUUUACACCAUGGCCUAGUUUGCAUAUAGGCCAAGUUUUAGGUGCAUUGUUGUCUGUAAAUCUUUUAAAGCUUUGUUUUGAAUGUUGAGGAGAUUGUAGUGAUCAGAAACAGGCAAAUCUUACUUCUGUAUUUGAACGUACCUGUUUGUGAAUGACUGAAAAACUAAAUCCAUUUGUCAUCAGCAAUGAAAUUAAAGUGAACAUUUUAUGAAAAUAAUUUAAUUAAUAAUAGCCUGCAUAGUCUUGAUAGAUUUUACUUUGCCUGACUAAACUCCCAGACAAAAUUGGACCAGGAUCACAGCCACAUUAUAUAAUGUAUCCUUUCUUCAUAAGGACAUUUUAAAGUUAUUUUCAUACAAAUUCGCAUUAACAGAUGACAGAUAUUUUAAGAUACAGAGAACACUAGAAUAGUGCCUAGAAGCAACAAGAUAGUGGUUGAGAUUUCCAUUUUAGUGGGUGAGGAGUUGGAUCUGAGCUAGGCAUUAAUAUAGAGGUGAAAGUGAGUGAACUUAUCGUAGUAAGGACAUGAAAUAUGAAGCUCAGGCAUGAUAUUAAAAUGGUGUUGCAAACAAAACACACAGUACACAGGAUUAUGUUACUACUUUAGAUGUAUUUAAAUAUUGAGAUGUUAUUCUGAAAAUUACAUAGAGCCCCAGUCAUAAACAAGCUGGAGGGCCAAUGCAGUUCUGAUUAUUAAAGCAUAAGAGGGCAUGCAGUUUGAAGAUGGGAUGAGAGAGACCCCAGUUGUUUAAGAGAAAACAUUUGGAGAAUAAUUUGUUUAUUGGCCUCUUCAGCAUCAGAAAAAGAGCCCUGAACAGUACUCUGGAGAAUACAGAAUGCUUCAUAGGAUUAUAGGA